UGGCACAAUUGGCAGUGCGUCUCAGUACUAAUGAGGAGGUUGCGGGUUCAAGUCCCGC
rnacentral:tRNA from 1 species